UUUUUUUUUUUUUUUUUCAGAAAGCUCUGUGCUAUAUCAAAUCACAGGCAUUCACUGCUGGAUGCAGUGAAAUGUUUUCAAACCUCAUAAACUCUGAGACGAGAAAUCUGUGCUGUUAGUCCCACGGCAGCGGCAGGUCCUGUGGGUCUAGGAAGUCGGCAGAGAACAUGCUGGGAGUGGUGGCACUGAGCGGUGUGAGUCCCGAUGACGUGCCGGGCAUGGUAAUGUCUAACCACUCCAUGUUGUCCAAGUUUGAGUCAGAGAGGUCAAGGGACAGACAGGGCGUACUUGCAGCAAACUGGGCCUCGGCCGUUUCCAUGGGUGAGUGCGAGGGGUCCAGCACGCCUGAGUGGCUCAGCAGGUCGUUCUGGAGGUCCUCGAUCAGGGAGAAGGGCUCUCUGUCCUCGCUGCUGCUUUGCAGGGGAGCGAUUUCAUUAGCUGAAGGUAGAGUUCCAUCCAGGAAGGCUUCGAGUUGGUUCUCUAAGCUGGCAGAUAGACUGCUCAUAGGUUCUAAGGAUAUGGGUGGUGCCAUUUGGACCUGGGGUGGUGGCCGGGACACCACGGUGCUGACCGGCAUUGUGGUGAUGCUGGCUGUCACUGGUCUCAUUUUGGAAAUAGGAGAAGGUUCUUCUUUUAUAGGGAGGGAAAUCUCUGUGUAA
rnacentral:lncRNA from 1 species